rnacentral:rRNA from 1 species
GUGAGGAAUAUUGCGCAAUGGAGGCAACUCUGACGCAGCCAUGCCGCGUGCAGGAAGAAGGCGCUACGCGUUGUAAACUGCUUUUAACCGGGAAGAAACCCCAGGACGUGUCCUGGGUUGACGGUACCGGAGGAAUAAGCACCGGCUAACUUCGUGCCAGCAGCCGCGGUAAUACGAAGGGUGCAAGCGUUAUCCGGAUUCAUUGGGUUUAAAGGGUGCGUAGGCGGAGCGUUAAGUCAGUGGUGAAAUCCUGCAGCUUAACUGUAGACUUGCCAUUGAUACUGGCGCUCUUGAGUGCGCUUGAAGUGGACGGAAUGUGCCGUGUAGCGGUGAAAUGCUUAGAUAUGGCACAGAACACCAAUUGCGAAGGCAGCUCACUAAGGCGAUACUGACGCUGAGGCACGAAAGCGUGGGGAUCGAACAGGAUUAGAAACCCGGGUAGUCC